AUGGAUAUCAAAAAUAGAAAACCGACGGAUAUGGAUUCGGAUAUGAAUUUUGAUUGUACCCGACCCGAACCCGAACCCGACCCGAACCCGAAUUUAUUUUGUAUUAUAUAUAAUAUAUAUAUAGAAAAAUUUGAUGUUAUAUUUGAAUUUGUAUUUUAAAAAUUUAGGUUUAAUAUAAUAUAUUUUGAAAUAUUGAAAAAAGAAAUAAUUGUUUCGGGUUCAAAUUUUCGGGUUCGGGUUCGGGUUCGGGUUCGGAUUUCGGAUUUUUGGUCGGGUUCGGGUUUGGAUAUGGAUUUUUAAAAUCCGUCGGGUUCGGGUUCGGGUUCAGAUCUCGGGUUUGGAGUCGGGUUCGGGUUCAGGUUCGGGUUUUUAAAAAUCCGUCCCGAAUCCGACCCGUUG
rnacentral:lncRNA from 1 species